rnacentral:tRNA from 1 species
GGAAGGUAGCUCGGUUGGUAGAGGGAUUGCCCAGCAUGCAAGAAGUCCUGGGUUCCAUCCACAGCACCA